rnacentral:lncRNA from 1 species
AUUUCAUUUUCUGCUCUGUGAAUCAAACAGCUUCUGUGAGUACUUCAUGAACUUAUCGUGCAAUGGCAAGAUGCCUUGAAGAAGCUGUUAUUGGUCUACCUGAAUUUUCAUUCUUCUUUGAAACCUGGGUAACCAUCCAUGAGUCACAGGAAAUCCACAAUGAGUUGUGGGAAACACAUUUCUUAGGUAGCAGGAGAGAAGGGGACCUAGACUACAC